ensembl:lncRNA
GCAGAGCCGGGGGCUUCGUCGUGCCCCCGCCGGGCCGGGAUGGCAGCGGGACAGACGGACGGCGGCGGGACGGCGGGACAGCGGGACGCUCCGAUCCGGGCCAGAGCUCCGCAGCGCGUCCGUCCUCACUCCUGCCGGUGUCACCGGGGGUUAUUUUCCCUUCUCCCCAUUUCUCCGGAGGGGAAAAGCGAGGGGCUGCCGUUGGUCCUAAAGGCAGAGCCCACUGGCGCUGCCCUGCGCUGACCGCCCCAUGCCCCCAUAGCGCUGUGCCGUGCCCGGGGCGAUGCUGUGAGCUCCGCUCGGAUGGUCUGAGUUCCUCCCUGCCCUCCACUCCUCCUGCCCAGAUGCAGUGGAUAAUAUUCAUGUUGCUGUUAUUCAUCAGUUCCGUGGAAAUGCUGUCGCAGAACCGAUGGAAAAAGCAAGUGAGCACCGGGCUCUUGGAGAACUGCACGGGCUGCGUCCUGUGCUCGGAGGAGAACGGCUGCAUCACCUGCCACCACCGGCUCUUCCUGCUCAUCUGGAGGGACGGCAUCCGCCAGUACGGGGUGUGCGUCCACACCUGCCCCCCCGGCUACUUCGGCGUGCGGGGUCUGGAGGUCAACAGAUGCACAAAGUGCAGGUCGCCCAGCUGCGAGAGCUGCUUCAGCAAAGACUUCUGCAUGAAAUGCAAGGAGAAGUUCUACCUGCACAAAGGCCAAUGCUUCCGACAGUGCCCCCCCAGCACCGCGGCUCAGCCCGGCACCCGCGAGUGCCAAGAAAUAUGCGAGCCGGGGCCCUGGAGCGAGUGGAGCGUCUGCACUCACGAGGGCCGGGACUGCGGCUGCAAAUGGGGUCUGGAGACGCGGGUGCGCGAGGUGCCGGGCUCCCCACGGGAGGAGGGGGCUGCGUGCCCCGCGCUGCUGGAGAGCCGCAGGUGCCGCCUGAGGAAGCACUGCCCGGGAGAGAAAACCAAACUCAGAAACAAAGGCAAAAAGCGGCAGAAGAAGCAGAGGACAGAGCAGGACGCGGGCACCUAGCGCAGCGACCCCCCCGUGCUGCCCCUGCUUUCCAGCUGCAGAAAAUUGCACAAUUUUCACACCCACCACCCCCCUACCCCAACCUCCCCCUUUCUUUUGAGACAAUUUAUGGCCUGUAAAACAUUUCCUUUUCAGAAAAUCUAAUUUGCAGUGUCCAAAGCAAUGCCCCGGGGCUCGGGCAGGGGGUGGCUCCCUUAUUUUGCUGUUCUUCCCUCUACCACUCUCUGCAGCUGGGUGGGAUGGGGCUGUUGUGGGUCUGACCGUGCUGCAGGCCAUGGAUGCUCAUCCCAUCCCCAUGGCACAGAGAUGUCCCAUUCCUACAGGAUCGUGUGUGUGUUGGGGUCCUGCAAGGCUCAGCAUCAAUGGCACAUGCGUGGGUUCACAGCUGCCCUAUGUGAGCACAGUGAUGUGGGGGGUGGGGGAGCUUUGCCCAUGCACUCCACAUCACAGCAGCCCCCUGCGCCCGGGGAGCAGCCCCACAGCUCCCUCCAGACACGAGCAGGGCAACACCAUCCCUGUCCCCAUCCAAGGGACAUGGGAAAAACAUGGAGAAGCGCUGCAGCACCUUUGCAAUGCGCUUUGCUCCAACUGCUGCUCUCACCAUGGGAAUCUCUGUGACUGUCUGGAGUUUGGCCACCCCAUUCCUCCUCCUGGCACAAAUGGGGGCUGUGGGGCCCUUCUAGGAGGAGGGCACUGGGUGUCAGCAUCGAGCCGGCCGGGAGCAUCGCUCCUCUGUUUGCUUAUGGACAAAUAAACUAUUAAAGCCUCUGGCA